GGAGCGGCUGCUGGGCGAGGAGCAGGAGGCGCUGGCGGCGGAGCUGCGGGAGCGGCAGAGGGGCGGGAUGCGGAGCCAGGAGCUGCGGGACGGCCCCGGGGAGUGCGGGAGGAAGUUUGCUGAACCGCUGCUGCACGAGCGCUGGAACAAAAACGCGGAGCUCCAAGAGGUGGAGUCAGAGCUGCACAGGAAACCUGUGAGAGAGGCUUGGGGUGAUCAGCUAAGGCAACAAAACAAGGAAGAGGUGACCAAACUCGAAGAGAAGAGUCACGAAACGGCAGCAGGGGAAGCGCUGGAAAGAACGAGACAGGAGGAAGAGAAGCAUCAGCUGGAGAAGCAGCAAACAGAGACAUUGCUUCAGCAGAUAGAAGAACUGAAAUUGCAGGAGACAAAGGCAACAAAGCUGAAAAAAGAACAAGAGAAUUUAUUAAAGCAGCAGUGGGAGCUGGAGAAUUUGGAAGAAGAAAGGAAACAAAUGGAAGAGCACCGGAGGAAGAGAGAACUUGGUCGCUUUUUGAAGCAUCAGUGUGACGUCCAGUUAAGGAGACGAGCACAGCAGAUACAGGAGGAGCUGGAGACAGACAGGCAAAUCCUAUCAGCCCUGCUGGAGAAGGAAGAUGAGGAUCAGCGCUGGCAGAUCGCACGGCGGGAAUGGGCGGUGGCAGACGUGGCCUGGAUGAUGAGGGUCAUCGAGGAACAGCUCCAGCUGGAAAAGGAGAGGGAAGCAGAGCUUGAGACCAUCUUCAGGGAAGAAGCAAAAAAAAUAUGGGAGAAGAGGGAGGAAGAAUGGGAAAGAGAGAAGGUGGCCAGAGAUCGCCUGAUGAGUGAGGUGCUUGCAGGCAGACAGCGCCAGAUCCGAGAGAAGAUGGAGUUAAACAGACGGGCACAGGAACAGUCCAUUAAGUAUCGAGAGCAGCUGAUCAAAGAACUCGAGGAGAUGAAGGAAGGGACUCGUUGGGAGAAGGAACAGCAGAGACCCUGCAGGAGGGAGCAGGCACAGGUAGGCUGAGCUCCCCAAUGCACACCUGGCUGCUGAGGCUGCCCCAUCUCACCUGAUUUCCCCUGCACAGGGGAUGGAGCACAGCUGGAGAGAGGAGGAGGAACAGCAGCAGGGAUGGGGCCAGCAGCACCUCGAGGAGCUGGAGCAGCAGGAGGUUUUACAGUUACCCAAGAGCAGCUUGGACCUGAGGAACGAGCACGAGAUGCAGCUCCAGACUACAGAAAGAAAACUCAAGGAACUCCUGAAAUAAUGGUGCCUCUGGAAUAGCCUACAGUGGGAUCAAGCCUUGACUCAGUAGAUUUCUGAAAACAUUUCUGGCCAAGCUGAAGAGGAGCUCUCUUCAGGAAUGUGGAGGUGUGAGCACCUUCAGGGAAACGAACUGCUUCACUCUGCAUUCUGGAAUUGUGCUCAUGUAUUUUAGUACAUGAGAGGCUGAAGCAACCCAGCAAAUAAAAGGGGCCUGUGGACCUGAGCCAUAAAAAAAUCUGUGUCUGCCCAGGAAGAAGAGCUGUGAAACACCACAGGCUGUGUCAGACUCCCAACUUGGAGAAUCAGGCUGUGCCUGGGUUCCCACUGGACUCUGAGGAGUUAAUUCAUAAUGCACAUUGCAAAUCAGUGAUGUGUGCUGUGGCAGCAGUGCUUGUCCAGUUCCUCUCCAGAAGGUGCUGGAGCCUUCAUUAAAUGUCGUUUUUCACUUGUUUCAUAAA